UGUGUGAGCUGGCUUGCCAGCGAUGACAAUCUUUCAUUCAAAGUCAUUGUCGACUGACAGACCGCCAUCGCUGGCAAGCCAGCUCCCACA
rnacentral:antisense_RNA from 1 species